rnacentral:misc_RNA from 1 species
UCAUUUAAAGCCGCUGGCUAGGGAGCUUUUGAACUUGGCAGGAGCUUUCAAUAUUGCUGACUAUGUUCCUUUUUUAGGAGCAUUUGAUCUUCAGGGAUUGACAAAACGUAUGAAGUCAUUUAGCAAGGCAAUGGACACAAUCUUGGAGAAGAUAAUUUGUGAACAUGAAAGGGAAGCUCGAUGGAAAAAGAAGCAGCAAAUGAAGAAUUUCGUUGGUGUGUUACUUUCUUUGAUGAACCAACCCAUGACAUCCAAUGAAGAGGUACUUUACACGCUCGAUAGAGCCCACAUAAAAGCUAUCUUAAUAG